GUACUCACUUUGGCAGCAUAUAUACUAACACUGGAAUGAAACAAAGAUUAGCGUGGCCCCUGCACAAGGAUGACACACAAAUUUGUGAAGCACUCCAUGUUUUA
ensembl:snRNA U6 U6 spliceosomal RNA